CUCGCCCCAGCACGAUUCAUUCAGUACUUUAGCUCACUCCGGAACGCCACGGUCGGCCAUCGUCGUCACCGCGCGAACAGAUUCCGCGGAACACCUUCACGACUCGACCCUUCGCUCAUCUGUGUGUUGGUGUGCGUGUUUACGUGCGCGUCACUGUGUGAGGGCAUAGUAUUUUCCCCUCUCUCUCUCUCUCUCUGCCUCUCCCUGGCAGGGCCUUGAAUCAGCCCACAAGUUGGAAGUGUCACUUUUUUGGAACGGCGGAGGAAAAUUUUAGCUUCGCGGAGAAAAAAGUGGUUCCCGCAGAUUGGCUCUACUUUGAUACCGAUUCCGGGCGGGUUUGUGUCGUGCACGAUGGAAGUGAUUUAGUGUCGCCAAAGUGGUUCUAUUUUAGGGCGAAGAAUUUGUCGAAAAAGAGCAGUGAAGUUCUCGAGAAUCGAGUGAUUGGAAGUGGGGAGUGAAAAUCGUCAACUAUCGGAAGAGUUGUCCGGAGAAGGAAGAACCCCGCGCGGGGCAGAACCAGCAGCACAAAGCGUACACGGGGUCGCAGCUUAAUUUUAUGGCCUCGGCCAGAGCUUUGGUCACGGUUCAGUUGCUUCCAGCAGCUUGGUGAGAAUUUUUCGUCUGACGAAUCCCUGUGUGGCUGGCCUACGCCCCUUUUUCACCCCGGAGACCGCGGGACCUGGUGGACAUUCCCGUGUUGACGACGUUGGAGCAGGCGGACGGGCAAAGCCAGCUGCGGAAGUGUCAUGAACUCUCGAAUCAAGGAGGAUGUCAGCCGACUUUUCGAGUACUGGUGCGAGAUUGCUCCCGGGAGUGCGGCCUCGUCUCCGGCUGGCACUCCGGAGGACAAGGCGGCGGCAGCGAGGGGCAUCGGCGGUGGACACAUUGUGCAGAGCUUCCCGGAGUCCUUCAAGGAUGCGAAGGUGAUCGCGGACAUUCCGUCGUUUGCGUACCCGUGCAGUUUUGAGAGGCGAACCAUUCAGGUGCACUCGUUCGUGCUGACAAACAUCGACUCCAAGUGGCGGUUCGGGUUCUGCCGGCACGACCCCAAAUCCCCCACGGCCAUGGUCAUCGUGACGUACCUGCCCUGGCACGACACCUUCAUCCGGUUUCUGAACGUGCUGGCGGACGUGCGGAAAAACUCCCAGCAGGAGUUUGAGUCCUUCCUGGCGGAGGCGUACAACCGGGGCGUGCCCGAGCCCGGGGGUUGCCUGAAGCUGCAGUACGACCGGCCGGUGCAGACGUUUAGCUUUCAGCGGCCGCAGCAGUUUCUGCUGCCGAGCAUACCGGAGAAUCACAACCUCAACCUGUACUACAACUUUGUGGAGCCCAAGGCCAUGAUCGGGGUGUUUGCGGCGAUGCUGGCCGAGCGGCGGAUCAUCUUCGUGUCGCGGCGGUUGGACAUUCUGUCGUCCUGCAUCCAGGCGGCGAACGCCUUCCUCUACCCGAUGGUGUGGCAGCACAUCUUCAUUCCGGUGCUCCCGAUGAAGAUGCGGGACAUCCUGGGCGCACCGAUGCCAUUCCUGAUCGGCGUGCCGGAAGCCGUGUACGAGUCGCUCCGGCGGGAGGAGAUCGGCGACGUCGUCAUCCUAAACUGUGAUAAGCGCACGCUGGACACGCCGUUCGACGACGUGAAGAACAUGCCACCGGAGCUGGUCGCCUCGCUCAAGAAGCACCUGGCCAACUCGGCCGAGCACCGGGGCGACCGGGUCUCGAAGAUAUUUUUAGGUAUUUUAGUGCAAUUAAUCGGCGGCUAUCGGGACGCGGUCAAGUUCAACGACAAGAUCACGUUCGACCCGGAAACGUUCAUCGACACCCGGCCGUCGCACCUGAGGCCAUUCCUAGCUAAUAUGCUGCAGCUGCAGAUCUUCCAACAGUUCAUCGAGGAACGGCUCGACAUGCUCAACACCGGCCAGGGCUUCUCGGACGAGUUCGAGGUCGAGUGCUUCCGGUACGCGGAAAAGUCCGGCCGCAAGGUGAAGCAGUACAAGGACCUGCUCAAGAACUUCAAGGACAAGACCAACCCGGCCGUCCGGUCCGCAGUCAAAUCGGUCAAGGAGGGCGGCAAGGGCGUCAAGACGGCAUACAAGGGCCUGCGGUCCAAGUUCCGCGAGACGACCCCGCCCAAGUCCAAGCUGGAGGGCAGCGGCGUCGGCAUGCACUCGCACGUGUCCCAGUACGACAUGGGCCACCACCAGUCGGCGCCCAACUCGCCGGUCUUCAACAAGCGCCCCCAGACGAUAGCCCUGCCGGACGACGCGUCCUACCCGGGCCAGCACAAUCACCACCUGCACAACCAUCACGCCGCGAUGCUGACGCCGUCGAGUACAUCGCUGUACAACUCGCCCCACUACCUGGUCAGCAAUAACGGCGCCAGCCACAACAACUACAACACCAUCACGGCCGGAUGUGCGCCCAGUGCGACCGCCCUCAAGAACCAAACCAACAACAACAGCCUCCAGAACCACUUUAACAACGCGACGACGACGACGACGACGCCGGCCACGAGCAGUACCAGCGACGUGCGGAGUCCCUCGCUCAGCCUCAGCCCGACGAGCUCGAACUCGUCCUCGGAGAUGAAUCUGCUGCAGGAGUUGCAGCAUCUGGCGCUGUUCAAGUCGCCGGCGGUCAACCGGAACCUCAAGCCAACGUUCAGUUUGGACUCGUCAACGACGACCAUGAAUCGACCCUCGAGUCGAACCGGUGCCCCUCUGAGCCCCCCCGGUGGAAACCAAACGCUGCCCCGAAUUCAGGAGCUGGUUCCUUCUUCGUCCCAGCCGCAGCAGCAGCCACUGCUGCUUCAGCUUGAUCUGAACGGGUCCUCGCCGAGGCGGAACCACAGUCGCAACCACCGAAUCAACAACAACGACGGGGACGACGACGGUGACGAGGACCGGAACUUUGAUCUCUCGCCGGACAUGCCGUGUCCGCCGGUGCCACCUCGGCGCUUCCAAACCGCGGCCGAAGCCCUCGCGGCCAUCCAGAUUUCACCCCCGCCCAUGUCCCCACCCUCGUCUUCCUCGUCGACGUCGGCUUCGCCGUACCGCAACUACACCCACUUCCUCCAGCAAGCCGCAGCCGCCGCCAUGCAACAAUCCAAAGCAACGACCCCGCCGGCGCCACCGCCCCUGAAAGCGUCCCGAAACGCCACGGCAGCCGCGCUUCUGCUGGACGGCGGGGACGAUGACCACCUCAUGAUCACCUUAACGCCAAAUAACUCCAGCAGCAACACCGCCAUCUCGAAUACCAACCACGCUAGUAGCCAAAUUGUACUCGAAACGACGUCGGGCAGCAGUGGGAUCGUCAGCGCCACGUUGCCACGGCCAACAUCCAACAGCCAUCAUCAGCACCAUAAGCCACCGGCACCGCAACCGCCUCAACGGCCGCCGCUGGCACCAAAGCCCACCACCCUUCUGCGCAAAGAGAUGCCAAAGAUUGCUACCAACGUCAACGAAAACGGAACCGCUGCCGGAAAGCAGUGAAAAGCCCCGAAGGAUGCCCAAACGAAACUAAUCGAACUUAAACCCAAGCUUUACUUUAGCACAACUACACACGUUCGAUCCUCCUGUGUCGAUGUGGCUGACACUAACGCUAGUACCGCCGCCGCUGCCACCGCUUCCACGUCAUCCCUGGACGAGCCGGACGCGGCCGCCGACCUCAUCAACCUGGACACGACCAACUCCAGCUUUGAGCUCGAAGA
rnacentral:misc_RNA from 1 species